UCGAUAUCAAAGACACACAUGCAAUGGGACUUUGAACCCGCGAUAGCAACACAACCUCUAAGAAUUACACAAGGUUAAAUGACAGCCAAGAACUAGUCUUUGCACAGACACAGGACACAAAGAUCACUUGUGAACAACACGCGUGACACAUAACACAGCACUACACUAGAGCAAAGCAAGAAGCUUAUGCCACUACCACAGUAGCAUGCUCUAAAGAGCAAAGGCUUAAACAUCAAG
rnacentral:lncRNA from 1 species